UACGUAGGGCGCAAGCGUUGUCCGGAAUUAUUGGGCGUAAAGAGCUCGUAGGCGGCUUGUCGCGUCGACUGUGAAAACCCGUGGCUCAACCAUGUGGUCUGCAGUCGAUACGGGCAGGCUAGAAUUCGGUAGGGGAGACUGGAAUUCCUGGUGUAGCGGUGAAAUGCGCAGAUAUCAGGAGGAACACCGGUGGCGAAGGCGGGUCUCUGGGCCGAUAUUGACGCUGAGGAGCGAAAGCGUGGGGGGCGAACAGG
rnacentral:rRNA from 1 species